rnacentral:rRNA from 1 species
GACGAACGCUGGCGGCGUGCUUAACACAUGCAAGUCGAACGGAAAGGCCCUGCUUUGGUGGGGUGCUCGAGUGGCGAACGGGUGAGUAACACGUGAGUAACCUGUCCUUGACUUUGGGAUAACUUCAGGAAACUGGGGCUAAUACCGGAUAGGAGCUCCUGCUGCAGGGUGGGGGUUGGAAAGUUUCGGCGGUUGGGGAUGGACUCGCGGCUUAUCGGCUUGUUGGUGGGGUAGUGGCUUACCAAGGCUUUGACGGGUAGCCGGCCUGAGAGGGUGACCGGCCACAUUGGGACUGAGAUACGGCCCAGCCUCCAACGGGAGGCAGUAGUGGGGAAUAUUGCACAAUGGGCGGAAGCCUGAUGCAGCAACGCCGCGUGCGGGAUGACGGCCUUCGGGUUGUAAACCGCUUUCGCCUGUGACGAAGCGUGAGUGACGGUAAUGGGUAAAGAAGCACCGGCUAACUACGUG